rnacentral:rRNA from 1 species
UGGCGGACGGGUGAGUAACGCGUGGAUAACCUGCCGUAUACUGGGGGAUAACACUUAGAAAUAGGUGCUAAUACCACAUAAGCGCACAGUCACGCAUGAGACGGUGUGAAAAACUCCGGUGGUAUACGAUGGAUCCGCGUCUGAUUAGCUUGUUGGCGGGGUAACAGCCCACCAAGGCGACGAUCAGUAGCCGGCCUGAGAGGGUGAACGGCCACAUUGGGACUGAGACACGGCCCAAACUCCUACGGAAGGCAGCAG